rnacentral:rRNA from 1 species
GAUGAACGCUGGCGGCGUGCCUAAUACAUGCAAGUCGAACGCUUCACUUCGGUGAAGAGUGGCGAACGGGUGAGUAAUACAUAAGUAACCUGGCAUCUACAGGGGGAUAACUGAUGGAAACGUCAGCUAAGACCGCAUAGGUGUAGAGAUCGCAUGAACUCUAUAUGAAAAGUGCUACGGGACUGGUAGAUGAUGGACUUAUGGCGCAUUAGCUGGUUGGUAGGGUAACGGCCUACCAAGGCGACGAUGCGUAGCCGACCUGAGAGGGUGACCGGCCACGCUGGGACGGAGACACGGCCCAGACUCCUACGGGAGGCAGCAGUAGGGAAUUUUCGGCAAUGGGGGAAACCCUGACCGAGCAACGCCGCGUGAAGGAAGAAGUAAUUCGUUAUGUAAACUUCUGUCAUAGAGGAAGAACGGUGGAUAUAGGGAAUGAUAUCCAAGUGACGGUACUCUAUAAGAAAGCCACGGCUAACUACGUGCCAGCAGCCGCAGUAA